CAAACUUGUGCAGAUUUAACUGCAAUUUGAUGAAAUGAGUUACUAUAUGCAUUUACACAACGAUAUGAUCUACUUUACAUUGUAGCUCUGUAAUUUUGUUCUGCCUUUAAACCGGAGAAAGUACCUAAAACUCUUCUGUUUUUACUAGCAGCAGCUUAUACAAUUUCCUUUGAUUUUUCAGGAUGAAGCUUUCAAUGUAUGCUUCUGUGACAAAUACCAUUCCAUACUUGGAUGAUGAAUCCAAAUUAUCAGGCCAUAUCGUGGUGAGAGAUAAGAGAGCUGUUGACAAGUUUGAGUUGGAUCCAUCAAAAGAUAAUUGUAACACCAUUUGGAAGAUGAUAAACCUGUGAAUAAUCUCUAGAUUGUGGGCGAAUAUGCUCAAUUCUGAUUUAUUGCUUGGGAAGUUGGACAAGAAUUCAAAUUUGGUUCUUGAAGUUGAAAUGUUUUAGGGUUUUUUUCUAUUUUAUUUUUGUAAUAUCUGGUGUUUAUGCUCUGAUGAACAGCUGAGCAAGCAAAGUAAGAUAUAUGUAUGUAUAUGCUCUAUUAUUUAUGGCAGUUGGUGAAAUCUUGUUUUGA